UAGCCGUAAACGAUACUCGCUAGGUGUCGGCCACGGUGCGACCGUUGUCGGUGCCGUAGGGAAGCCGUGAAGCGAGCCACCUGGGAAGUACGGCCGCAAGGCUGAAACUUAAAGGAAUUGGCGGGGGAGCACCACAACGGGUGGGGCCUGCGGUUUAAUUGGACUCAACGCCGGGAAGCUCACCGGAUAAGACAGCGGAAUGAUUGCCGGGCUGAAGACCCUGCAUGACCAGCUGAGAGGAGGUGCAUGGCGUAGUCGUGU
rnacentral:rRNA from 1 species